CAUCUCAUAACCUAAUCAGACUUGACCUGAUUGAACCCAAUUAAAUAAAACUUAAUCUAGACUUUAGUACUCAAUCAAAUUGAGCUAAUUAGUGAUCUAAUUACUAAUUAAUCCUCUAUUAAUGAUAGAAUCCAAGUCUAGUGGGACUUUUCUCUAGAGUCCCCAUCCAGUGGGACUCUUCAUCAGAGUCCCCAUCCACUAAAACUCUUCAGAUUAGUCAUGUGAUC
rnacentral:lncRNA from 1 species